AACUUUAUUAUAGCUACUGCAUCUUCAAAAUGUUUUGCUCUCUUAUCUCAUUCUUCUCAAAAGAAGUUUUGAAGUUUAUUAAUGGUGAGGAUAAAAUGUCUUUCAUUUUAAGUUGAGUAAUGUGAUAAGAUUACGUCUACUGGAUCACCCUAGAUUUGAUUGUUAUGUUGUAGUUUGUUUAUGUUUGAGUUCAAGUGAUUGUUAAUUCAAAAUCACCUUUGUCAAUUUUAUUAUAAGUAGGUACUAAUUUAUUUUUAUGUGUUUUCUUUCUUAUGUGAAAUUCGUUUGAGUUCACCAUGAACUCUUAUUCCCUCUUGCAUUUCGGGAGAACCGCAAAGGCUCGAAUUCCUCUUUUUGAGUCGGACAGCCGUGAAUAUCGAUGAACAUGUCUUGGAGUAGAAAGGAUUUGAAGCAAAGAAGAAUUGAAAGAUUGGGCCAAAGGCCCACUCUUUGCACAAAAAGAAACUUGUAUUUUGUUAUUUUAGGCCUAAUCUCAUUUGUUGUAAUAAUUAUUAUUUGUUAGUUACUAGGACAGGUACAAGGAGACAAGGGUUGGGCCAAAGGCCCAAAGAGAAGCAAAAUUCAAAGAUUAGUUUAGGACAUGUGUUGAAUAUUGGGUCUUUAGUCCCAAAACGAAAUAGGCCCAAAUGCUGGUCCAGGCGGACAGGAAAACCAGAUUUGGGCCUAAGUCUCUUUCCCUCUUUGCUUUUUAUCGUGUUUAUUUACUUACUAAUAUUUUCCACUAAUCUUAAGGUAGAAAUUCAAAUCCCUGAAAGACAU
rnacentral:lncRNA from 1 species